CCUACGGGAGGCAGCAGUAGGGAAUAUUGGGCAAUGGAGGCAACUCUGACCCAGCCAUGCCGCGUGCAGGAAGAAGGCGUUAUGCGUUGUAAACUGCUUUUAUAUAGGAAGAAAUAGACCUUGCGAGGUAAGUUGACGGUACUAUAUGAAUAAGCACCGGCUAACUCCGUGCCAGCAGCCGCGGUAAUACGGAGGGUGCAAGCGUUGUCCGGAUUUAUUGGGUUUAAAGGGUGCGUAGGCGGUUUAUUAAGUCAGUGGUGAAAGACGGUCGCUCAACGAUUGCAGUGCCAUUGAUACUGGUAGACUUGAGUGGGAUUGAGGUAGCUGGAAUGGAUAGUGUAGCGGUGAAAUGCAUAGAUAUUAUCCAGAACACCAAUUGCGUAGGCAAGUUACUAAGUCUCAACUGACGCUGAGGCACGAAAGUGUGGGUAUCAAACAGGAUUAGAUACCCUGGUAGUCCACACUGUAAACGAUGAUAACUAACUGUUGGCUUUCGAGUCAGUGGUACAGAGAAAUCGUUAAGUUAUCCACCUGGGGAGUACGCCGGCAACGGUGAAACUCAAGGAAUUGACGG
rnacentral:rRNA from 1 species